rnacentral:lncRNA from 1 species
GAAAACUAAUUUAUAAAACAGGGCUAUCUAUUCCACUCUUGUUUCUUCCUUAAUCAGUUUCAAUCAACUCCUCUUCCUAUUCCAUUUCACCGCCUCCUUCCUACACUAAUUCCCAAUUUAUCAUCUCGGUUGAGACAAGGAGAAUGGAAGCUUAAAAAAAAAAUCAAUUCAGCAGUGAGGAAUUUAGUCAGAAGAUAACAAGAAGUCAUAGCAAGCAAGUUUAAGGUAAUACAACUCAACUUUUCAUGAUUAUGAAUGUAAGGUUUAAAUAAAGUGAGUGAGUUAGUUUUUAAAUAAAAAAAAAAUAGUUAGUGAUAUGAAUUGGCUAGCUAUAUAUGCUUAAUCGAAGUGUUAGUAAUUGAUUAACAAAGAUGAGAUUGAAAUAUUACAUCUCAUAAUAGAAUCAAAAGAGUUGAGUUUUGAAAAGUGAAUAAACUAAUUAGUUUACUAAAUAGUUGACUAUAUAUGAAUUCGAUUGUGUAGAAGAUUGUUAUUAAACUGGUAUAGUGCAAAGGAGUAUAGGUUGGGUUGUGAGGAGUAAUAAGGUGGGAAAAUGAGUAGAACAGAAAUCAAACAUCAAGAAAUCUGCGUUUUGAGGAAACGCACACCAAGUGCUUGAUAAAAGUCUUCUGUGGACUGUUUUGGUUAAAAACGAAGAAUUAAGUAAAGCCGAGUCCAAGGUUACAUAUAUAUACACUAUAUGUAGAUAAUUAAAGGAUUUGAGCAAAUCAAAUUAGAACGAAAAGCAAUUGUAAGCCAAAACGAAAAAUCGAAAUAUAGUGUGUCGGGCCACUUAUGGACUAACAUUGGACUGUUUUGGAACUUUUGUGGUUUUGAUUCAUGUCUGAAAUUUAAGUUUUGUAGUAGUAUGUUAUACUCCUAUGAGUUAUGAAAAUAACCCAAUUGGAACGAAGUAAAAAUGAGCUCAAACGAAUUUAUAGUGAAUGUUUUGGUAAAACAUGUUAAAAACUAAGAAAAACAAGUGAACUGCUGCCCCUAAAAUAAAAAUUCGGGGUUAGGUAGGAUGUUCAGAAAAUUCUGGACUUUUGGUAUGUUAUAGUACACUGAAUAAGCUUUCCAUAAACUCUGGAACGGACUAAUUCCGACUUCGGAGCAAAGAGUUAUGACCGUUCAAAGUAGUCGCGUCGAAACUGUCUAACCAACUCGGGGUAGUCACCUUGAACGAAUUUUCUGGAAUUCUGUGUUUAGAAUUUGGAAAAGAUCAAAGAAUAAAAGUUGUAGUCCCGGAAGUUAGCUUCGCCUAGGCUCAAGAAUUGCCUAAAAAUGUUUUAAAACGAAAAAGUUAUGACUGUUUUAGUGAGAGAGGGUACAGCUGGGAAGAAAUUGAAACUGUUAUGAACGUCUACUUUUGACGCAUUAUUUGGGCUGCCUAAUGAACCCGAAUUUGGUGACUCGUACAUUUAAAAAAAUAGUCUCAUAUACUAUAUAUUACAUAUUUAAAAUUCGUUGUAAUCCACUAUACGAGCUAGAAGUAAUGAGGUCGCAAAAUGGGCAUGUUGGAAACAGAGCUGCUGCCCACGGCAGCAGCAGUGGUGAUGUUUGGCAAUGGCUGCGGGCUUUCCUUGGGCUCUCAGCCAACAAAUUUAAAUUGCUUAAAAUGUACGGCUAAUGUUUUACUAUAAUAGCUGAGUAUAUCACCUACAUAAUAUCAAAAUUCCAUAUGAAUAGAUCAAAGUCGUGAGGAGCGAAAAGCUAGCAAAACAAGAGAAAAGAAGAAGGGGUUGUUGCCCAUUAGGCAGCAGUGAACAACAGUAGACAGCAGCAAGAAGCUGCUACAGCAGCGUUGAAGAGCCAUCUUGGCUUCGAAAAUUAGUUCAAUAGUUUACCCAAAAAGUUGAGUUUGUCAUCUCUAGGACACCCCCAAAUCUAGGUACUUCGUUCCCAUAAGACUUGGUGUUCACUUUCCAUUCAUUCAUACUAUCUACCCAAAUAUAAUAAAAUUAAAUCAUAAAACAUCCCUUUAAAAUAGGGUUACAUCAUUAAAUAAACAUCUUCCCAAGUUGUCUAACCUUAAUCAUCAUAUAAGUGCGAAAAUAAAAUUAUUAAAUCACAUCAUUAAUUAAAAGUCUAUCAUCAUAACAAUAAAUGAAAAUUAUAAGUCUACAUCACUUGUACAUUUCCAUUGCUAGUUGAAGGCUCAUCUACCUUCUCAACUUUAGCUGCAACAAUUAUAUUUAACAAGAGUGAGCAAAACAAAUGCUCACUAGGUAUAGCAACGAAUCAACAAGAUAAUAAUAACUACCAAUGAAUAGGCUCAUCAAAACUGAAUAGUACUCUAUCAAUGAUAAUCAAAGACUGAAAUCAAAAUAUGGAAUAUAUGUAUCUGAGGGUCAUAAGACCACGAACUAUGUCUACAGUUGUAAGUAAUCUUUCAACUACAACUUUAACAGUCAUAAGACUAUAAGGACUCCUCGUACUUAGGGGGAUCAACCCUUUAUACAAUGUAUUGUGCACAAUCAUUUCAACGCUAAGCGUAAAUUAUCCCCUAAUAAUAGGGUUGUUCAUCUCAGUAUUUAGAGUACAAGUCCGCACCAAAGUAAGUUUGGUUUGGAUACAUUUCAAGGUUAAUUUAGAAUUCAACGGUCAUCAACUAAGGAUUAGUUGAAUACGAUAUUGAUAACGUCAUGUUAUGGAAUAAUCAUAACUGAAUCGACAUUGUAAAUUAAGAUCAUGCUUUAGGAAUAAACUAAUAGCAUAAACAUCGAAUAAUCAUAACGUACCUUACUUGAACAAUAUUAAGCCAAGGUUAUUUAGAAUUGAGUACUAAGCAUGCAUAACCAAUAGUAAUUUAAACGAUAAAACUUGUUCAACAUGAGUAUAUCAGAAUAUGUAAACUUGCAUGCUAGAUAACAAGUUAAAGACAAGAAUAACUUGUUCAAUAUCAGAAUAAGAUUUAGAAAUCAUAAACAAACUAAAUACAAGAACUUGCUCAAUCGUAAGAAUAAACUUGCACAAUGUAAUAAAUAAACUAGCUCAACGAAAGUGUAGAGUUAGAAAACUUGCUCAAUUGUAAAAGUAGAAUUAAAGAGCUUGCUCAAUGUAAAAAAGAUAAGUUUAGAAACUUGCCUCGAGAAUAAGCUAUAAUAUUAAACUCACGUUCACCUACACAUAGGUUUAGAACCACAAUAUCUCUUAGACAUACUAAAAUACCAUAACAUAUGCAUUUCUAGUUAGACUUGUUAUUUCCGUAUAAGUCUUAUACUACCAUAUACAUUUCAGAAUUUCCAAGUGUUAACAUCACAACACUUAUCUAACAUUCAUUGUAUAAACUAAGUUAUAACAUAACACGUUCAUAACUUAUAAUCAUUUAAAACUUUGAACUACUAACCACCUAACACGAUUCUGUUUUAACCAUGUUAUUACAUGUUUGACACCUUAACACAACCUUAGACCAAGCUAUAGGGGUGUUUCAAGGUCUGCAGUAGUAGCAGAACAAACUGUCUCAGGACAGGGUAUGGCGCAACUGCGCCACACACAGGCCUGGGACCGGUGCAACUACACCGGCACAGCUGCGCAGUUUUUAGCCUUGGCACCAGCGCAGCUGCGUUGGUGCACAGACAGAGGCAGAGACAGCUUUGAACAGUAGCCGACUUUAGCCCCAAAAACACAAAUUUCACCCACCAAACAGUAAUAUGUACACAAAUAAUUGAUAUAAAACUAUCAUAAACAUGUUUGCUAACAUAUUCCUCAACAUAGAACAAUUUACAUCAACUAAAACUAGUUUAAUUUCUCAAAUUUUGCGUUUUCAUAUAAAAACUCAAUUUUUGAUAACCUUCACGAAAAUCAACACUAUAAACACAAUUCAUGUCCAAAUUGCUUCGUUCAAAUUACGUUAUGUUCGUUUCUUAAUGAACUAGCAUAAUCAAGCCUCAAUUACAGUUUAGUAUACGAAUUGACCAUAAAAAUUAGUAUUUACAUAAGCCAUAUGAGAAAAUAUUCAUAACAACAUACACUGUAAUUAUCUUUCCUACUUUUAACUUUAAUUAAAAUACAAAUUCCUUGUUUAAACAUAAACUCUAAUCAUCAUUAACACAGAUAAUCACCAUAAUUAGUUGUAUAGUAACAUUUGAAAGAAAUAGAAUUCACAGAACUUGAGAUUUUAUGUCGUAAAUUCACACACACACACACACACAUAUAUAUGUAUGUAUGUAUGUAUGUAUGUAUGUAUGUAUGUAUAAUAUUGAGAUUAUGAAAAAUUACCUUCAAUUAGCUUGCACAACCUUGCUAAACACAGAAUUUGUUGUGAAAAUUCUUAAGACUCCUCUCCAAUUCAUCUGAAAACUCUCUUCUCUUCUCUCUUCUCAGUAGACUAAACUCUUAGUUAAGUGUAAACAAAUAAACUGAUAGGUUAGCCAUAAUACGUAUACUUAUUAUAAUAUCAGUUACAAAUAAAAUAUAACGUAUCUGUUAUAAAUUUAUUUUAUUUUAUUAUUUUUUAUAAUAAAAUCCAAAAUUUAAAAAUCCAAAAGUCAUAAGGCUUUGUUUGGCAACACCUCUUUAAAAUUUAAAGACUUAAUAUAUUUAAGCUUUGUUUGGCAAAACUAAAUUACACUCCUUUAAUUUAUUUUAAUAAACAAUUUAGUUUAUCAUUCAUAAUCACAUAUUAAUUAUUUGGAUUUCCAUAUCCACAUUAAUCAAAUAAAUUAGUUACACACUAUAUUUUAAUUUAAUAUACCAUUUAAACAAAUAACACAAAAUUAUAAUUUCAUUAUAAUUUUAUCUAAUAAUUUAACAUAUCAUUUUAAAUUAUUAAAUCAACACAACAAUAUAACAUCUCAUGUUAUAUUACAACUCUCUCCAUUAUAAAUCACAUAAAUUUAGAAUUUUAUUAAUUCACAAAUAUUUAGUAACAACAAUCACAUCAAAUAAAAUAUUUAUUCAACAAUUUUUACAAUAAACACAUCAAAUAAAUAUUUACAUAAUUCAAUAAAUAUUUAAAAUUAUAAUUUGAAAUUCCGAAUUGUUACAUCAUUCCCUCCUUAUAAUGAUUCUGUCCCCAGAAUCAAAACUCAAAUAAUCAAAAACACAUCAAAUAAAUAUUUACAUAAUCCAAUAAAUAUUUAAAAUUACAAUUUGAAAUUUUAGAUUGUUACAUCCUUCCCUCCUUACAAGGAUUCUGUCCCCAGAAUCACAACUCAAACAAUCAAAUCGUCACAUUCUUCCCUAAUUACAAAGAUUCUGUCCCUAGAAUCGAAGAUACAGAUUAAACAAAUAACUCAGGGUAAUUCUUUAUCAUUUCCGCUACGAGUUCCCACGUAGCCUCUUCGAUAUUGUGGUUCCUCUAUAUCACCUUCACAGAAGGUAUCACUUUAUUCCAGAGCACUUGUUCUUUCCUGUCGACUAUCUGGAUAGGAAUCUCUUCAUAUGACAAAUCUUUACUGAACUGCAACGGUUCAUACUCGAUCACAUGUUUGUAAUCGGGUUUAUACGGUCGCAACACCGAUACAUGAAAAACGUUGUGAACGUGUUCUAAUUCUGGAGGUAAAGCUACCUCAUAAGAUACUUCUCCCACUCUGCGUAGAAUCUCGAAAGGUCCAAUAAACCCUGUGCUUAGCUUUCCCUUCUUGCCAAAACGAAUUUUUCCCUUCCAAGGAGAAACUUUCAGGAACACGAAAUUUCCCGCUUUAAAUUCACGAUUCUGCCUGUGUUGAUCAACAUACUUCUUCUGUCGAUCUUGAGCAGCUACUAGUGUUGCUCUGAUGAGUUUGAUAAUUUCAGUGGUCUGCUGCACCAGUUCUGGUCCUAGCAGUUGACGUUCACCAACUUCAUCCCAGCAUAGUGGAGUUCUACAUUUUCUGCCGUAUAAUGCCUCGUAUGGCGGCAUGCCAAUGCUUUCAUGGUAACUGUUGUUGUAUGCAAAUUCCACCAAUGGUAGAUGAUCAUCUUAGUUUCCUUUGAAAUUCAUGAUGCACGCUCUAAGCAUAUCUUCUAGCGUCUGGAUUGUUCGUUCGCUUUGUCCAUCAGUUUGCAGAUGAUAUACUGUACUUAUCUUUAGUUGCGUUCCCAUGCAUUCUUGUAGUCUCAUCCAGAAAUUUGAUGUGAACCUUGGAUCUCUAUCUAAUACAAUUGACACUGGAACUCCAUGUCUUGAGACGAUCUCUUUAACGUAUAGCUUCGCCAGCUGAUCAAGAUUAAAUCUAAUCUUUAAUGACAAAAAGUGUGCAGAGUUUGUCAGUCUGUCCACUAUCACCCAUAUCGCAUCGUAUCCUUUCUGAGUCGUUGGAAGACUUACCACAAAAUUUAUUGUGAUAUGUUCCCACUUCCAUUCCGGUAUCUCCAACGGUUGAAGUAGUCCGCUUGGUCGUUGAUGCUCUUCCUUCACUCUCUGACAUGUUAAGCACUUUGCAACGUAUUUCGCGGCGUCUCUUUUCAUAUUUGGCCACCAAAAGCGUCGCCGCAAAUCUUGAUACAUCUUCGUACUUCCCGGAUGAAGUGAAUAUCUUGAGCUAUGAGCCUCUGUCAAGAUUUUUUCUUUAACAUCUUGUACUGCUGGAACCCAAAUUCGUCCCUCAAAUCUUAGUAUUCCUUUAGUAUCAACCUUUUAUUUCACUUCUUUACCCUCGAUCACACCUUCCUUUAUUUUUCUACAUUCCUCAUCCUGUAGUUGAGCGGUCUUCACUUUGUCCACCAAAGUUGGACUAGCUUCCAUCUGGUACAAUCUUUUGUCAGAUUCUUUUGGAAAUUUAAUUUCCAACUCUAGCCUUGCCAUUUGCUGAAAUGAGCUCCUCCUUAUCGGUUAACAACAUCAAUUUUUCUCGGUCAUUCCUACUCAAGGCAUCUGCAACCACAUUAGCUUUACCCGGAUGAUAAAAGAUCUUGCAAUCAUAAUCCUUUAUCAAUUCCAUCCAUCUCCUUUGACGCAUGUUCAGGUCCUUCUGUGUGAAAAUAUACUUCAGACUCUUAUGGUCUGUGUAGAUCUCACACUUCUCUCCAUAGAGAUAGUGUCUCCAUAUCUUCAGAGCAAACACUACCGCAUCCAACUCUAAGUUAUGAGUCGGAUACCCUUUUUUGUAGUCUUUCAAUUGCCUUGAUGCAUAUGCAAUGACUUUGUCGUUCUGCAUAAGGACACAUCCUAACCCUUGUGUGAAGCAUCACUAUACACCAUAAAAUUUCUUGUAUUAUCUGGUAAUAACAACACAGGUGCCACACUUAACUUCUUUUUAAAUUCAUGAAAACUUUCUUCAUACUUCUCCGUCCAAACAAAUUUUAUAGAUUUUCUAGUAAAAUUUGUUAACGGAGUGGCAAUCUUGAAAAAAUCUUGGAUAAACUGUCUAUAAUAGUCUGUCAAUCCCAAGAAACUUCUUACUUUUGAUGGAGUUCUUGGUGGUUCCCAAUUUAUCACAGCUUCGACUUUUGAUGGAUCUACAGAAAUCCCAUCCUUAUCAAUUACAUGCCCAAGAAAUUGUACACGUUCUAACCAAAAUUCACAUUUAGAGAAUUUCGUGUACAACUUUUCUUUUCUUAACGUCUCCAGCGUCAGACGCAAGUGUUCCACGUGUUCUUCUUGAGAUUUAGAGUACACCAGAAUAUCAUCGAUAAAUACCACCACAAACUUAUCUAAAAAUAGUUUAAACACCCUGUUCAUCAAAUCCAUGAACGCUGCAGGGGCGUUUGUCAAACCAAAAUACAUCGCCAAAAAUUCAUAAUGUCCAUAGCGAGUUCGGAAUGCCGUCUUCGGUACAUCCUCCUUUCUCACUUUUAGUUGGUGAUACCCACUUCUCAAAUCUAUUUUCGAGAAAUAUUUAGCACCCUUCAAUUGAUCAAACAAAUCAUCUAUUCUUGGCAAUGGAUAUUUAUUUUUAAUAGUGACCUUGUUUAAUUAUCUAUAAUCAAUGCAAAGACGCAUUGACCCAUCCUUCUUCUUCACGAACAACACCGGCGCUCCCCACGGUGAUACACUUGGCUGAAUGUACUUCUUUUCUAAUAGUUCUUGCAGUUGUACCUCAGUUCCUUCAUUUUGACCCGAGCCAUUCUGUACAGGGUCUUCGAUAUUGGAGCGGUUCCUGGCGCUAAGUCGACCACAAAUUCGAUCUCUCGGUCAGGCGGAUGUCCUGACAAAUCUUCCGGAAACACAUCCACGAAUUCCCUAACCACUGGUAUUUCCUCAAAUUUUACACUCUUCAUCUUUUGAGUAUCGACUAUGUAAGCUAAAUACCCUACACAGCCCUGACUCAACAACUUCGUGGCCUGCAUAAUCGUCAGACAUCUCAUUUGUCUAGGCGAUUUGCUACCAUGAAAAACUACCUUUGAUGGAGUCAUAAGGUUUACACACUUCUUUUGGCAAUCAAUUAUCUCUCCAUAAUUGAAUAACCAAUUCAUUCCCAAUAUCACGUCAAAUUCUCCAAGUUUUAUCGGGAUUAAAUCUACUGUCAUAACAUUCCCCUUAAUAUUCACCCUACAGUUCUUGUAUACGAACCUAACAUGAAUCACUUUCUUAUUCACAAUUUCUAUGUUUAAAGGGAAAUUCAACUCUUCACUAGGUAUUUCUAACCUCUUAGCAAAUUCAUCAGAUAUAAAUGAGCAAGUAGCACCCGAAUCAAAUAAUACAUAUACAUUUAUAUCAUUGAUUGGGAUAAUACCUGGCACGACAUCUUUUGAUUGCACCGCGUCCUGCAUAGUCACGUUGAAGGUUCUUGUUGUGGGCUUAUUUGUUGACGUUGGUCCAACAAUAGCCAGUGUACCUCUACUUGCAUUUCCCUUGCUUCCAUUCACCUCACCAGUUUUCUUCUUUGGACACUCGCGAGCAAAAUGAUACUUCGACCCGCAGGUGUAGCAAGCAUUCUUAUUGGGUUGAGUGUAAUUUGGGGCAAUGUGACCCUCCUGGCAACAAUUAAAGCAUGCCCACUUCCCUCUUAAGCACAUACCCAAGUGAAACUUUCCGCAAGUAGCACAUGCGUCAAUCUUCUUCUUUUGCUGGUUACCUUGCUGAUUUCCAGCUCCCACAUUUGCAUUCCACUUUAUCUUCAAAUUGUUGUUGCCAUUUCCACCAUUACCACCAGCACCAUUUUUAGUUUCUCCUUCAUUUUUCUUCUUCCUCUGCUCUUGAUUGUGCUUUGUUACAGCCUCGCCUCCACUCUCAGCGAGAAUUGCCUUCUCAAGUACUGCUGCAAAUGUCUUUAACUGGAACAGGGAAACCCUGCUGUACAACCAAGGCUUCAGUCCCUGCUCGAACCUUCUUGCUUUGCGUUCAUCAGUAUUCACUUGAUAUGGCGCAAACCUCGCUAAUUCGUUGAACCUUGCUGCAUAUUCUGACACUGUCAUUGUGCCCUGCUUUAACUCCAAAAAUUGCACCUCCAUCUGGUUCUUUGAGCUUUCUGGGAAAUAGGUCUCGAAGAAUAUUUUCUUGAACCUUUCCCAAGAUAUUACCCCUUGACCUCCUCAGGUUUUAUUGGCUUGCCACCAAUAACUAGCCUCUACUUUCAACAUGAAUGUUGCAAAAGUAGUCUUCUGAUUCUCCCCUACACUAGCAACAUCGAAAACCUUCUCUAUUUCCAUAAUCCAGGUCUGUGCUUCAACUGGAUUCAUGGACCCAUAGAAUUAUGGUGGCCCAACCGCCUUGAAAUUCUUAAAUGUCGCAGCUUGAUUCUGUGGCUGAUUCUGUAAUGCUCCUGUCAGUAACGUUACGAAUUGUUGAACUAGAUUAUCCUCAGCAUUGCUGUUAUUCUUAGGGUUCCUUUGUCGUGGUUGGCGUCUUGGAGUCAUUUUCUGUUAAAAUACACCCAUUAGAUUCUAUUCAACCUUUUAAGUAUUAUAUAUUCAACUUGCACAUCGCAAAAAUUAUCACAUAACACAAUAUCUUGAAUAAAUAGUAACUCUUAUUUAUUCAUAAUGUUUUAUAACAUAAUAAUGAUAGCAUUCAUACUAUCUACAUCUUCACUUUCCUGAACUACAAAAGUUGCAGGAUUACUUCAUCAUCAUCACAUCCCAUUGGUUAUAUCAUAUCCGGGAUUUACAUCAUAUUUACUCACUAAUCACAUAAUAAUUACAUUUAUGACGUUUUAUUAAAAUGCUGCAUAGCCUUACGACGCUCCUUUUCCUUAAUUCAGAACAUUGUUCGACGAUCUAAUAUGUAUGAUGGUAGCAUCUCAAACUGAAUAGGAUAACACAUGACUCGAUCUUGAGCUCGAUUGAUCAAGGUGUUGAAUACGUUAUUCAUCUCUUCUAUCUUGAUCCUCUUUACAUGCAUCUCUCUCUCUGCUACCCUGGCUCGUUGAAAAGCUUCCUCGUAUGCGUCUUCGGCUCUUGCCCUCUUCGUAGAUUCUUCUUUCAAUUUGUUCUCCAACUCUGUAAUCCUCUCUGCCAGUUGCUCUUUCUCUUCUUCAGUGUGGACCAGCUUCUCUUCAACAUUAUUCAGACGUUCCUCUUGAUCCUAGAUCUCAUCGUCCUUUUAUGCCAUUGAGGUCUGUUGUUCAGCUACUAUCUCUUGCAACUCCUCGACGGUAUCUUGAAGUUCCACAUUGCAGUCAUAUACUUCGUCUUACAUACGGGCGGCAAUCGAGUUAAGUGGAAGCUCUUCCUCCUCGUCAUCCUCAUCUCUAUCCGACUGUGGCAGCCCAACGGGGUCCUCCUCGUCCGUCUCUAUCUCAUCAUCCUCAUCAAGCAAUCCUUCCUACUCAACCACUGUGACCAACGAAGUUGUUUCCCGUGGCAGUAGCUGUUCCCAAACCACCUGAAUAUCUCGAGGCUCCUCCUCUCUAGGCAUCUGGAAUCCUUCCUCCCUAGCCUGACUAGAUCCUCCUAUAUUAGUCAUCUUGUCAACCAAAUUUUAAGUUUUAAUUACUAAUCAUUACUACUCGACACUCAUGAGCACAUAAGUUAUAAUCACAUAAGCACAUAAGUAUUUUAUUACUUCUUCCUUAAAACUCGAUAAAAGUUUAUCAUCACUAUCUUUUCAAAGGUUACUUCCUAAGGCUUUUCCCCACCUAAGGUUCAUAACCUAAGGCUUUGAUACCAACUUAUGACAACUCCAAAUCUAGGUACUUUGUUCCCACAAGACUUGAUGUUCACUUUCCAUUCACUCAUACUAUCUACCCAAAUAUAAUAAAAUUAAAUCAUAAAUCCUCGCUUUAAAAUAGGGUUUCAUCAUUAAAUAAACAUCUUCCCAGGUUGUCUAACCUUAAUCAUCAUAUAAGUGUGGAAAUAAAAUUAUUACAUCACAUCAUUAAUUAAAAGUCUAUCAUCAUAACAAUAAAUGAAAAUUACAAGUUUUCAUCACUUGUACAUUUUUCCCUUUCCCUUUCUAGUUGAAGGUUCAUCUACCUUUUCAACUUUAGCUGCAACAAUUAUAUUUAAGCAAGAGUGAGCAAAACAAAUGCUCACUAGAUAUAGCAACGAAUCAACAAGAUAAUAAUAACUGCCAAUGAAUAGGCUCAUCAAAACUGAAUAGUACUCUAUCAAUGAUAACCAAAGACUGGAAUCAAAAUAUGGAAUAUAUGUAUCUGAGGAUAAUAAGACCACGAACUAUGUCCACAGUUGUAAGUAAUCUUUCAACUACAACUUUAACAGUCAUAAGACUAUAAGGACUCCUCGUACAUAGGGGGAUCAGCCCUUCGUACAAUGUAUUGUGCACAGUCAGUUAACCGCUAAGCGUAAAUUAUCCCCUAAUAAUAGGGUUGUUCAUCUCAGUAUUUAGAGUAUAAGUUCGUACCAAUGUAAGUUUGGUUUGGAUACAUUUCAAGGUUAAUUUAGAAUUCAACGGUCAUCAACUAAGGAUUAGUUAAAUACAAUAUUGAUAACGUCAUGUUAUGGAAUAAUCAUAACUGAAUCGACAUUGUAAAUUAAGAUCAUGCUUUAGGAAUAAACUAAUAGCAUAAACAUCGAAUAAUCAUAACGUACCUUGCUUGAACAAUAUUAAGCCAAGGUUAUUUAGAAUUGAGUACUAAGCAUGCAUAACCAAUAAUAAUUUAAACGAUAAAAUUUAUUCAACAUGAGUAUAUCAGAAUAUGUAAACUUGUAUGCUAGAUAACAAGUUAAAAAGAAGAAUAACUUGUUCAAUAUCAGAAUAAGAUUUAGAAAUCAUAAACAAACUAAAUACAAGAACUUACUCAAUCGUAAGAAUAAACUUGCACAAUGUAAUAAAUGAACUAGCUCAACGAAAGUGUAGUUAGAAAACUUGAUCAAUUGUAAAAGUAGAAUUAAAGAGCUUGCUCAAUGUAAAAAGAUAAGUUUAGAAACUUGCUUAAUGUAAAAAGAUAAGGUUUAGAAACUUGCCUCGAGCAUAAGCUAUAAUAUUAAACUCACGUUCACCUACACAUAGGUUUAGAACCACAAUAUCUCUUAGACAUACUAAAAUACCAUAACAUAUGCAUUUCUAGUUAGACUUGUUAUUUUCGUAUAAGUCUUAUAUUACCAAAUACAUUUCAUAUUUUCCAAGUGUUAACAUCACAACACUUAUCUAACAUUCAUUGUAUAAACUAAGUUAUAACAUAACACGUUCAUAACUUAUAAUCAUUUGAAACUUUGAACUACUAACCACCUAACACGAUUCUGUUUUAACCAUGUUAUUACAUGCUUGACACCUUAACACAACCUUAGACCAAGCUAUAGGGGUGUUUCAAGGUCUGCAGUAGCAGCAGAACAAAUUAUCUCAGGACAGGGUAUGACGCAGCUGCGCCAUACACAUGCUUAGGACCGGCGCAGCUGCGCCGGUGCAGCUGCGCCGGUGCAGCUGCGCAGUUUUUAGCCUUGGUACUAGCGCAUCUGCGCUGGUGCACAGACAGAGGCAAAGACAGCUAUAAACACUAGCCGACUUUAGCCCAACAAACACGAAUUUCACCCACCAAAUAGUAAUAUUAACACCAACAAUUGAUAUAAAACUAUCAUAAACAUGUUUGCUAACAUAUUCCUCAACAUGGAACAAUUUAACAUCAACUAAAACUAGUUUAAUUUCUCAAAUUUUAUGUUUUCAUAUAACAACUCAAUUUUUGAUAUCCUUCACGAAAAUCAACACUAUAAACACAAUUCUUGUCCAAAUUGCUUCGUUCAAAUUACGUUAUGUUCGUUUCUUAAUGAACUAGCAUAAUCAAGCCUCAAUUUACAGUUUAACAUACGAAUUGACCAUAAAAAUUAGUACUUACAUAAGUCAUAUGAGAAAAUAUUCAUAACAACAUACACUGUAAUUAUCUUUCCUACUUUUAACUGUAAUUAGCAUACAAAUUUCUUGUUUAAACAUAAACUCUAAUCAUCAUUAACACAGAUUAUCACCAUAAUCAGUUGUAUAACAACAUUUUGAAAGAAAUAGAAUUCACAGAACUUGAGAUUUUAUGCCGUAAAUUCAUAUAUAUAUAUAUAUAUAUAUAUGUGUGUGUGUGUGUGUGUGUGUGUGUGUGUAUAAUAUUGAGAUUAUGGAAAAUUACCUUCAAUUAGCAUGCACAACCUUGCUAAACACAGAAUUUGUUGUGAAAAUUCUUAAGACUCCUCUCCAAUUCCUCUGAAAACUCUCUUCUCUUCUCUCUUCUCAGUAGACUAAACUCUUAGUUAAGCGUAAACAAAUAAACUGAUAGGCUGGCUAUAAUACGUAUACUUCUUAUAAUAUCAGUUACAAAUAAAAUAUAACGUAUAUGUUAUAAAUUUAUUUUAUAUUUUAUUUUAUUAUUUUUUAUAAUAAAAUCCAAAAUUUAAAAAUUCAAAAGCCAUAAGGCUUUGUUUGGCAACACCUCUUUAAAAUUUAAAGGCUUAAUAUAUUUAAGCUUUGUUUGGAAAAACUAAAUUACACUCCUUUAAUUUAUUUUAAUAAAAAAUUUAGUUUAUCAUUCAUAAUCACAUAUUAUUUAUUUGGAUUUUCAUAUCCACAUUAAUCAAAUAAAUUAGUUACAAACUAUAUUUUAAUUAAAUAUACCAUUUAAACAAAUAACACAAAAUUAUAAUUUCAUUAUAAUUUUAUCUAAUAAUUUAACAUAUCAUUUUAAAUUAUUAAAUCAACACAACAAUAUAACAUCUCAUGUUAUAUUACAACUUUCUCCAUUAUAAAUCACAUAAAUUUAAAAUUUUAUUAAUUCAUAAAUAUUUAGUAACAAUAACCACAUCAAAUAAAAUAUUUAUUCAACAAUUUCAACAAUAAACACAUCAAAUAAAUAUUUACAUAAUCCAAUAAAUAUUUAAAAUUAUAAUUUAAAAUUUUGGAUUGUUACAAUCUCUAAAUGGACAGGUGUAUAAAAUCUACAACCUACCUACAGUUUAAUACCAUUGAGUUAGUAAUCUAUAAAUUAAAGUCUAGUAGAGAUAUUGAGUAUCUAAAUUGGGGCUGUUAGGCCAAGUUUGAAACUGUUCAUGCCUCGAAGGGGCUGUCUUGUCAAUGAUGAAAAACAACAAUAUUUAAAGCAUUAGUGGACCUAAAUGGAACUAUAAAAUAUUAUACGUUGUCCAUACAAGUUAUAAUUACACUCAAAGCACAAAAUGAGUUCGAACUCACCUUGAAUACCUAAAAUAUAUAAGUUCAUAUAUAUAUAUAUAUAAUGUAACGCCCCAAAAAUUUGGAUUUUCCAGAAUUUAAGUUUAAAGAAUUAGUUAUUAAUAAAAUGAAUUUUUAUUAAUAAUAAGGUGUUAUGUGUUUAUUAAUCGUUCUAGAACCUAGGAUGAUUAUAAGUCGAGAGGAUUCUGGCUACGAGCUAGACUAAGCGAUUAAGAAUUUUCAAGACGAAAAUGAAAAUUUUCCGGGAACAAAAAUAUUUCUGGGGAAAAAGACAAAAUACGCACUAUUCACCCGACGAAACCUAAGGGUUAGGGUUUGAAUAACCUAAGCCGUUCUGAGAGUUCAGUAUGUCGAAAUGACAUUCCGUCGAAAGAUUUGACGAUAAUAUAUCUUGAAAAGUUAAGUAAGUAGAUAAAAGUUUUUCUCGAAAAACGUGCAGAAAUCGGAUAAAAUAAAAAUGACGAAAAGUACUACUAUGUACUUUUCAUUCGUUUGGCUACGUUAGGGUAAAACAUGAAGGAAAACGCUCAACGCUAAAAAGUGUUUUUCAGUUUUUCGGAAAUCCGAAGAAUACGUAAAAGUUAAUCGGUAAAGGAAAGACGAAAUAUCCAAAAAUAUUUGGAUUCCGAGAAUCGCAGUUUUUAAAACUGUCGGACGAAACCUGAAAAACGGAACCACGAAACUUACAGGCUAAAUUUCGUGAAUAGUAAGGAGGUUAACUAAGGAGGUGGAUGUACUAGACUUAAGUUUUAAGUAAACUUAAGUGUUAAGCAAACUUAAAGGCUAAGUAGACUUAAGUGUUAAGUAAACUUAAGGAGUGAGUUAACUUAACACCUAAGUCAUGAAUAGUAAGGAGGUGUGAAUAGUAAGGAGGUUAGGGGGUGAAAUGACUAAAAUGCCCUUAGCCUUGAAAAUCUAUAAAUAGUAAGCUUAAUUCAUUUAUUUGGGAUAUUGAAAAAUCCUACAUCUUAGAGAGAGAGAGAGAGGAUUCGGAUGGAGAGAGAUGAGGAAGAGCAUGAGCAUGAUUGAUCGGAUCGAAAGUGUUCGUGAAAUAGAAAAGCUAGCAAAUCGCCGAUUUUGUCUAGCGGAAGAAAAAUAAAGAGGAAAGGUAUUAAAACCUAACUUCUAUGUUAGAUUUUCUUUAAGUUUAUAUGUUUAAAACAUAACUUAAUGAGAAUAAGAAGUAUAUGAUGUUAGGAAUGAUUUCAUAUGGUUGAAAUCAUAAGAAAAUGAAGAAAUAAGAAUUUAAAGUUUAGUAAAUAAAUUUCUUAAGGAAGUAUAAGAUUCGUAAUGAAUUAGAACGAUCCGAGUGGAUUAUAUAAAUAAGUAGGUGAAAUAAGUAAGGAAUAAUGUUUUAUAACAUCAAAUUCCAAUGAAAAGUGAAAUUGUAAUCCAAAAUAUCGAUUAAAAUGAAGAACGAAUGAAGAACACGAAGAACAUGCAAAGAACACGAAGAACGUUGUUGAUGGACAAAUUUAAAACCAUCAUAGGAUAAUUGUUGUUGAUGGACAAGUUUAAAACCAUCGCGUAUAAGUUAGAUGCUUGUUUCUUGGUUAGGAACGGUAGAAACGUUCAUGAAGAACGGAUUAAAACUUAGCUAUAACGAAGUUAUGGCGAAAAUUUCGUAAAAGACAAACGAAAAUUAGAAAUUUAGUAAAUGAACCCGAACGUGUAUGGUUUCAUAAGAAUGUAAGAAAAUGUUGAAAACAUGAGUCGUGGACUCAAGAACGAUAGAAUUCCGAGUUCGGAUGACCGGAUUACGGACGAACAAACAAAGAGCAUUAAAAACGUAAAUGAACGAAGGCUGAAGAUCAAGCAAAUCGAAUAGCACGUUAACGGAUUCAGAAUGAUGUUCUAUCCGAGGGGGAUUGAAGUACGUAAGAUAAAGAAGAGAAUGGCUUUGGAAUGACCUCAUUCCGAGUUAUAACGAAUAAAUUAUGGAAGCGGGAAGAAAGCGUCUCAAAUUGGAUGAACGAACGUGAGGGGUUGCUAGGGUUGCGAUUCCUUAGACGUUGAGCGACGAGGGUAAUGAAUAACAUUUCGAUGUUAUGUCAUGAUAGUGAGAGAUAAGUUUGAAGCGUUUAGACGCUGUGUACGCAACGCUGUUGUGGUAAACGAGUGAUCUUAGCAUACAGCGAAAUGUAUGGCUUCGACAUUAAAGAAGAAUAACGAAUGGUAUUAAGAAAGCCGUAAUGAACGGUAAUAAGAUUAAUGGAAGCCGAAUGUGAGUCGGAUAAGAACGUUAGAAUAAAAUGUAUGCGUUGAACACUUUAACCGACGUGAAGGUUGAGGGUACGCAAAUAUUAAACGGAUAGAACCUACACCCCGUGUAUGGUUUGACCGUAAGAUAAUGACGAUCAAUGUUUAAACCGUGAACGGUAAAGAAGUUGAAUUAAAGAUAAUAACGUUUAACGUAACGAAGCCGAGUUAAGGAUUAAAGGGAAUGAUCGUUUUGAGUAUACAAAAGACUAUAUGACUUAGACGAUAAAGAGUGAAUACUGAGGCGUGGAAUUUAGUUGCCAGGAAGCCAUAAAGAAUGAGAAAUUAACUUAACGAAGAUUAUAGUUUAAUAGUUCGGAUAAGUCAAGAUAAGUAAGUUGUAGUACAAUCGUAACCUUUGAUGGUUGACAUAUGGGAGCUGGGCUAAACAAUUCCUUCAGAGAGCGAAGGUAUAUACAAAACUGGCAACCGAUCUAACUCACUGUUAUGGGCAGUGUAGACGAGACGGGAACUUGUUUGUUGGUUGUUUGUGGGAAACCACUCAGAGUACCAUAUGGACUACUAGCAGAGAAGCGAUGUGUGCUAAGUCUUAGAGAAGUAAUAAGAAGAAGAUAAGAUGUAAAACAUCAAAGAUGAUGAACGUAUAAGUAAGACAUCUCCGUAUGUCAUGAAGCCGUAGAACGGUAGUGAAAGUGGUCGCGUAAACUUAGGUUGCAAGAACGCGAACCCUAAGAAGUAAAGUUAAGUAAACUAAUGCAUAAGUCAAAGAUGUAUGACUAAUUAGUGUAUGUGUUGUUUUUUUUAUGUGCUACAUAGGAACUAGAAUGAGCAGUUCAGCGUAAGCUGUAGCUGUGCGUAAGGCAAGUUUCCUAACUUCAUUCAUACUUCAAAUGAAUGCUAGUUUCUUAAACUUCUCAGAUGUUGAACUUGAGAAGUUCCGUUUAUGUGCUAAUGUGUGAUAUUUGUACAAGGUGGUAGAACGUAUGAGGCCUUGUGCCACAAUGUGAACACUUCGAUGUUUUUAUGAGAUGAAUUGUUCUGUGAUUAACUGUUCAAUAAGAGAAUGCUCUGUUCAUACGUUAUUGUUAAGUUUGUGCUAAUGAUUCUAGCCAGACAGAAUGUGUAUGAAAAAGUUAGAAGAAUGAAAGUAUUUUAAAUUAAAGUGAAUAUUGUUUUAAAAUGAUAGGAAUCGAUAUUAUUCCUAUUAUUCAAGCUGCUUCAUAACCUUUGUUCGGUUAUUGAUGUCUUAAAAGAAUGUUUGAAUUCUUGAAGAUGUUUGUUCAACUGUAAUGACUUGUUGGGCAAUUGAAUGCUCACACUUGCUUUUAAAUGAAAAACAUUUUUCAGCGAACGAUGUUAGAAGAACUUAAGGGUCUUGUAAAGAUCAAAAUGACGGUAUCCAGAUGAGGUGCUAUUCAGGAUGUGAAUAAGCGAGAAGAUUAAGUGAAGAUUUAUAAUAUAGGAAGAUGAAAUUGAACUAUAGACUAGUUUAAGGAACUGUUAUGUAUCCUUGGUGGCGGAUAAAAGUCACUCUUGUAAGAUGAAAUGAAUAAUGUAUUUAUCAUUAUUUGAAAUGAAAAAGGUUAUAAGGUUUCCAGAACCUGGGAUUUGAGAGUAUAUGUUGUUAUAUUUAGCUAUAUAAUGAUGUAUGUUUGGAAGAAGAUGGGAUCGUGAUGUACGGAAUCCGGGUGUGAAGAUAGACCGGAUUUCGGGGCGUCACAUAUAAGCAUGUAGUAUACAUUAAAAGUGAUCAGUUUGGUAGCAUGAUAAUAAGAGCAAUGCUUUGCAGUCUGAGGCAAUGAUUGAGGUAAAGAAGAUUGUGGGCAAAUCGAAUGGGAGUGGGUUUUUGUUAUUAUGAGGUAAAGAAAAAAAAAAGAAGUUCAAUAGAAUUUAAUUUGAAAAGUUAUGAGGGAACUCAUAAUUUUUAUAACUUCACUACUAGAAUAAAAGUUGAGGACCCAUAUGCUAAUUGAUUCAUUGUUUCAUUUUGUGCUAACACCACAGUUAGUAUUGAUGGUAUUGAAUUUGACAAGUGUGAUGUAAUAGGCCAGAGCUUCAUGUUUCAUCAAAUUGGAAGAAUUUCAUAAUGGUGUAUAUAUAUUUAAUAUAUAUAUAUGAAGUGAGAAUGCGAAUUAUUCGUAAGAUAAAAUGUGAAGCUAAGUUACUAAUAAAGUAAAGGAUUCACGUACGAGGCGAUAACCUGGUUUAACUUAUGAGCUAUUGAGAAAGCAUAAAAAUUACAAAAGUUAAAGAAAUGUUAUAGUAAUGCCAUGUUUAUGAAAUAAAAAUUAUUCGUAAACCAUAUGGUCUUAAGUCUACAAAAAAAAGAUAAGAAAUAUCCGUUAAAAGGAUUGUAAAUGGUUUAUAACUCGAAACGUAGAGUAUUUAUAUACUAGAGCCAUGAGAGAACCUUUUUGGGCAAAAAAAAAGUUAUAAUGAACAAAAGUUUUUAAAGAAAUGUGAAAUAGUUUUAAGACAAGAACAAAGGAUUAUAGUUAAUGUAAAUAAAAUUAAGUUUACAUUAAGUAUGUGAAUUUAGUAUAUGAAACUAAUGUGUGUAUGAAUAUAUAUACUCAAUUUGUGUAGGAUCAUCACCGAACAGAUGAGUUAUAACAUUAAACAGCACUCAAGGCAAGUUUCUCAGUUUAUUUAUGUGGACGUAUAAUUGCUAUAGAUAACUGUUACCAUAAUUUAUGGUUAAAAGUAUGUAAUACCUAUGAACUGCAUUAUUUGCUUUGUGAAUGAUGAAUGUCAAAUUAUGACUAAUUAUUGAAUUGAGUUGGGGAACUCAAUAAAUAUGUGCAAUGAAUGACAUGUAUAGGACAUGUGUAGUAUGCUAUGGUAUGUAUGUUGCUACCAGCAGGACAUAAAUGUGAUAAUGCAUUUGUAAUAUGCUUGAACACCAAGAAUAUAAAUGCAUGAACUGAAUGUGAAACCUAUGUGCUAAGUGAUGCAUGAUAGACUGUUAGACUUGCUGGGUCGUCGUGCUCAAUCUUGCUUAAUUUGCAGGUUAAAGCUAUGAUGCGAUUUAUCGUGAUUAGGAGCGCAUGAAAAGAAGACUAGUGAUUUAAUUGAGAUUGUGUUGAAUCAUUUGAUGGUAUUUUCAUGUGUAAAUCACAGAUGUGUAAAUUUUUGAAUUAUUCGAUAGAUGAAGAUUAUUUGUUCUAAAGAGGGGAUAUGCUUGAAAGAAUGAAUUAUAUAUAUAUAUAUUCAUAUCUACUCAGGCUAAAUAAGUCAUAUAAUAAAUAUGAUUUUAGUAUAAAGAAGAAUUGUAAAGGUUGCGAUUCAGGGAAUGAAUGAAUGGAAAAAAAAUUAUUCUAUAUUUUUAGCUAUUUUAACAUUAAAUAAUGUUUUAAAGCUAUAACAAGAUAAUAUUAACGCACAAGAUCGGGAAGGAAAAUAGUCCCGAUUUUGGGGGCGUUACAUAACACUGCAGCUAAAGUUGAGAAAGUUGACGAUCCGUCUACAAGUAAGGGAAAAGGCAAGAUGACCAAGUGAUGAAUAGUUGGUUUACUUUACUUUAUUUGAAAGAAUUUAUGCUAUGAGACAUAUUUAUUUUUAUGAUGUAUUCCACAAACUUAUGUAAUAAUUUAAGGUUAAAUUACCUGAGAUUUAUUUUAAGAUGAUGUAACCCUUUAAUGGGGAGGAUUAUUGUUUAAGUUAUUUAAUUUAUGUUUUUAUCCUAGAUUGUGGGUAGUUCAAUGUGAUUGUUUUGGAUAGUGAACACCAAAUCCUGUGGGAAUGGAGUACCCAGAUUUGGGGGUGUCACAGCUCCCUCUGUUCGGACUCCUCUAGCUUGCCUGCCAACUCAACAUUCUUGGCUCUCGAUCAAUGGAAAAGGGUCCCCAUCUGUACACCUUCCUCCUUGCGAUAUGCAAGUUCUACCUCCAACUUCUGCAUUUCCAGCUUCCUCUUAUGGUCUUCAUCCCUCAACUUCUGCAUCUCAGUUUCUCUCUCUUGAGCCUGGUCUAUAGUUCCUCAACCCAACACUCGAAUUCCAAAAUCCAUUCCUCGUAUUCCCCCAACAUCCUAUCCUCGAAUGUCACCUCGUCGGAAUCUUCCACGGGCUCAUCCUCCAUGGGAUCUUCCUCGAAAUUUGACUCUAUGGCAACUGACACCAUCUCCUCCUCCUCAUCCUCAUCAUCUAAAGGGGCUACUGUUAAAAUGGGCUCCGCUAUCAGAGGUGCCUCAUACACUACAUGUAUGUCACGUGGCUCCUCCUCUACCACUCUACUGGGUCCUCCCAAGUCUGACAUCAUACAACCAUAAACACAAGACAACAACAACAAACUCCAUUAGCAUGCCAAAAUUAAACAUAAAUUCAUUCUGUGGAAUGAAAAUAUAUUUCAUAAUGUUACUAUAUCUCUAUGAAAACUCUAUAUGAGUUUCAUCUCCUUCUAUCCUCUAAGUUGUUCUAAGGUUAUAGUCUAAAGAUUCUCGCUACUAAGAUUUAUAACCUAAUGCUUUGAUACCAACCUAUGACGCCCCCAAAUUCGGACACUCAAAUCUCGAAUUCGGUACAUCACAUGAAACUUCUAAUAUCAUACUAAAAUCAUUAACAACGGAAUAAUAGAAUAAUUUAUAUUGUCAUAACAUAAUUUUUCUCGUCCUAAGGUCUCGAACUGUUACUACAACAUCAAAAUUUAAACAUAACUUAUUACAUCAUGAUAAAUAAGUCUCCAUACAACAUAAUAAUGAUAAAUUCCAAGUACUAAGAAUCUAAGCUAUUCUGAAGCCUUAUCUUUACCCUUGUCCUUGCCCGAGGGUUCACCAUGUUCUGCCUUAAUUAAAAGUUUUAAGGGAAGUAAGGAUGAGCAAAAAAUUUGCCCAGCAAGUAAUAUUGCAAUAAGGGUGAACAAUUAUAAAGUUCAAAUCUCAAGGGUAUGACAAUGAAUAAUAGUUCAAGAAUUAUAAAAAAUUCACAAUAAAGGUCGUUAUGGACUGAAAGAUAUCAACCAGAUACAAAAAAUAUGUCAUGUUAAGGUUCAAGAAUAAUGAACACUGAGUAGUCACUAAGGACUAAGAACUUCUGCUAGAAUUAACAGUAUUAUACUAAAAAUACAAUCAAACGAGUGCAACAGGUGAUCAGCCUAAGUACCAUGCGUUAUGCAUAACACUUAAACAUGCUAGUAUGUGCGCAUAUCGGUUCCCCAAAAAUUAUAAACUUUCCCCUUUAAUGAGGGUUGUUCAUCUCAGUAGAUUUACAAGAGUCCGCAUCAAGUCGAUUGGUUUGGAUAGCUUUCUAAUAUAUGAUAAUAGUCUAGCCGAAUCAAUAGCUUAGACAACUUUUAUAAUGCAUUUAAGAACGAUAAGUUCUGUAACGACCCAAAAAUUCAUACAACUCAACUCUCGACCUUGGUCAUUAUCGAUUCAUCUUUAUUCUAACAUUACAUCAUUAAACGAUGUUAAACUUAAUAAAAUGUGGAAUAAUUUAAACUUUUCUAUCUUCUUCUUUUAUUUUCCCUGAAUCACAACCUUUAUCAUCUACAUGUCUUUGAAUCUUAUACAAUGCAUGAUUCACUUAAUCAGAGUGAAUAUAUAUAUAUAUAUAUAUAUAUAUAUAUAUAUAUAUAUAUAUAUAUAUAUAUAUAUAUCUCUCAAAUUGAUAUCCUUUAUACAUCGAAUAGCUCAAACUUUAACUUUACAACUCAACAAUUAUUAAACAUCAUAAACCAUCAAGUACAUAUCUCAAAACCUUAAACAUGGAUUAAAAAGAUAACAGCUAUAGCUAAAGUAUUUAAUCUUCAUGCAUUGCAUCUGAUCCAUGUCAUUCAAGUAGCACAUAGCGUUACCUUGAAACCUUAACCUGCAAAAAUAGUUAUUUGCAAGGUUGAGCUCGACAGCCCAGCAAAUCUAACAGUUUUCACGCAUCACGUAGCAUAUAAUAACAUGUUCAACAUACAUCUCGUAAUCAUUGGACUAACAUAAUAUACAUGUUAUAGUUCACAUAACAAGUAUAAAGAUUGAGUUCCUUACUCAAUUAGCAUUCUUUACUCAAUCAACGUAGUCAUAAAUUGACUUUAACGUUUUAUACUUUCAACAUAUAUAACACAUCAUGCUCUUUGCAAUAAAGAUUUAAAAAAGUUCAUCAUCAAGUUCACAUAGCAAAUAGGAAUUGAAAGACUUGUUUUGAUCGUUGUUUACCAAUAACAGAUUAAUAACUUACAGAUAUCUGCACUUCACGUGUCCUACACAAUUAUAUAAUCAUGCACAUUAACUAUUAGUCACAUAGCAACGCAUAGUAGUUGUAAUGUAAACUUUACUCUACAUCUCAUAACCCUUCCUAUUAAUCGAUACACAAUGUUUAAUUUGAUUGUGUUAACUUUCGACUUAUAUCUCACUAUAUUUCUUCUUAGGUCACACUCGAAGUUCAUUCAAGUGUUUAAGUCUUGCUAGGACUACUUAUUGGUUUUAUAUUAACCACAUUCUAUAUCUUAUAAUGUUCACUUCAAUUGAAUUAAAACACUUUUUAAGUUCAGUAACACUUGACAUGACGUUUCGACGUUUAUUCGUCGUACGCCCAAUUCGUCUCUCUUUCGUACGCUUAAUAUGCUUAUAUAACUUAUCUAAUACAUCAUUUAUUAAUGUUAAAUAUCAUUAUAUUUACUAAUAUUCAUUUUUUAUAACUUAGAACAAAAUCUUUUAUCGCGAGAAGAACUACACUUGCAUAAGUGCACGCCCGACGCCCAUUCGAUUGCCUCCGAAUACACAUCAGUCCCAAAGAUGGCCAUUUUGACCCCUUUUCCAUAUAUCAAAUUAAAACACUUAAAUAAUGAAAGUUGUAGGACUAUUAUUCCUCGUUCCAGAUCAUCUUGAAUCGCCUUAAUCGGAGUUUGUAUGAAAAUGUGUGGCUAUUUUCGUAAAACAUGUCCAGUCAAUUUUUUCUCUAACACUUGGUCAGCCUACCCACCCCCGUCGGGACGGGAUACCCACUGGGGUGGCACUUUUUGAAGUACAAACCCCCAUCGGGGUGGGUAUUCACAGAUCCCAAUUCUGCAGUUUGUGUUCUUCGCAAUUUUUCGGCCCUUUCUCCUUCUAAUCUUCAUAACUUGAGUUAUACACACCCAAAUUAGUCCGUUUUUGAUUCUAUGGAUUCGUAAUUCAUAGAACUACAACAUACCAAAGAAUCAACAACUUAAAGAACCAUUAACUAACCUAAAGUUUGACCCAAAACUCAUGUUCAUACUAAACUUUCAUGUUUUAACAUGUUUAGCAAAUUCAUUCACUACGAAUUUGUUUCUUAACCAAAUUGAUUCAUUCAACUUGCAUUCUUUUAUUUUAUUUUUAACGUUCUUACAACAUCCAUCAUCAAUUUAAGGUUUCCAUUAAUAUUUCAUAACUAAUUUUAGUCUCAAAAAUGACAAAAAUGUACAUAUUCAACCAACUCAAUUCUUCAUCUUUAACAUGUUUUCAUGAGUUUAAACACUCCAAAAUUGUUUCUAGAUGACUAUUAACAGAUUAUGUCUAUCCAUAAACAUAUAUAAAUUAUACCUCAAUAAAUUCAACCACCAAAAACUCAAUUACAAAGAAUUUAGAAAACAAAACUAUAAACUAGAAACCUAGAAAUUUUACCUUUGAUUUACUAUAAAGCUUGAACAAUUUCUUUUUUCUCCCUUCUUUGAUUCUGAAACUCCUCUUCAAUUACCGAGAAUUUCUUCUCUAAGCUCCCUCUUCUCAAUUUAUCUCUUCCUCUCUUCUCUGUAUUUUUUUUUCUUUGUUUUCAGGCUUUAGGAACAAAAUACGUAAAAUUCAUAUAACUGAUAUAAACAUAAUGCGUAUACAUUAUGGCCUCAUCAGUUACACAGCCAAACGUUCUAUCAGUUAUAAUAACCAAAAGCCACAAGGCCAUGUUUGGCUAGCCCCUUCAAAUCUCCUUUUAAUUUAUUUUAAUUCCUUCCUUAUCAUAUAGUUUAUUUGUCACAACCAUUAUUAAAUUAAACCUCAAUAUAAUUAUAACUUCCAUUUAGCCACUAUAACAAAUUACUAAAUCUCUAAUUUAAUUACUUAAUUAAAUUAGAAUAUUCCAUUCCAUCAAUAUUAUCACACUUUCAUUAAAUUAUUCCAUAACGAUUUCCAUCAAAUAUUCAUUUUAAAUUUCAUAAAUAUUCUAACUAAAAUAUUUAUUUUAUUCGAUAAAUAUUUUAACUAUUUACGAGAUUCACAAUCGUAUUGCAUUAACAUAUUACGUUUAUAUGUAAAAUGUAUUACUUUCUCAUCUUAUUAAAACAAAUAUAUUUAUAUUAAUUCACUGUUUUAAUUAAGUGAAUUAGUUGCCUUAUUUAUGAAAUUUAAUUCAUUACAAUUCAAUUGCCAAUCAAGGCAUGAUAAUCAAAUUAUAUUAUUUCAUAAUAUAAUUUCAAAAUUUAUUUAAAUUAACCAAUAUUUAUUCAAUUAAUUUCUUUUCCACCAUAUUCCUUUACAUAACAUAUUAACAUAUUACAUUUAUAUGUAACAUACAUUACUCUCUCAUUUUAUUAAAAAACAUCAUAAUAAGAAUUUUAUUCAUUAAAUUCUUAUUUUAAUUAUUUUACAUUAAUUCACUAUUUUAAUUAAGUGAAUUACUCACAUUAUUUAUGAAAUUUAAUUCAUAAUAAAUUCAUUGCCACAAGGCAUAAAAAUCAAAUUAUAUUAUUGCAUAAUAUAAUUUUCAACUUAAUUAAAUUAACUUCUUUCCCUUUUCAAACAAUUUCAUUUACCUUCUUUAAUAGUUAAAUUAAAUUAACACUUUCAUAUAUAUAUAUAUAUAUAUAUAUAUAUAUAUAUAUAUAUAUAUAUAUAUAUAUAUAUCUCAUAUAUUCACACCAAAUCAUAUAUUUCACAAUAUAUAACACAUAUACACACAUAUCCAAACUCAAAACAUCUCGCAAUAAGAAUUUUAUUUAUUAAAUUCUUAUUUUAAUAAUUUUCAAAAAUUUGGGUUGUCACAUCCUUCCCUCCUUAUAAGGAUUCCGUCCACGGAAUCACCAAAACCCUACCUUACUCAGAUUUUCAUCAAAUCACUUUUAAAAAAAAUUAUCGUUGAAUAACUUCAACACAUUACCUUAAUAUAGAGUUUUAUAUUUCCUACUACAUUCAUUUCUUCAACAAAUUCUAGGUUUUAUUUCAUAACUUUCACUUGAACUCAAUUAUAUUUUGAGUAUUAUAUAUUCUUUAACCCAUUCAUUUCCUUCUCUAAGAAUCGUUAUCAUAUACCCAACUCAUAAAUACUCGGGAUAUUAUAUUUACCCCUUCUUCUAAGAAUUUCAUCCCCAAAAUUCCAACUUACCAAUCUUCAUUCAUUUGAUUAAUCAAAAUUAAUUUCACGUUAAUCUUUAUUCACUCAUUGGGUUCUUUGACCAAAUUCCUCCUCUAAGGAUUUAUCAUCGCAUACUUCACAUCUUCCUCUUUUACAAAUAUCACAUUUUUUUAAAUAACUUCAUCCCUUCCCUUUUUAGAUUUUUAUUUCUUCCUUGGAACUAUUAUAGUUUUCUCAACUUACUCAUCAUCACAUGUCGUGUUUCCACAAAUUACUCUUUUCUAAGAAAUAUCCUCCUUGCCAUAUUCACCAUUCAGAAUAACAAGAAUCUUCCUUAAUUGAUCAAUAAUUGGGAAGCACUAUGAAUAACUCAAGAAUUUAAAAGAUUCUCGAAUCAUGCUGAGGGGUCACAAGACCUUGAACUACGUCCAAGUUAAUAAGUAUUUCUUCCAACUUAAACCUAAACAGUCAUUAGACUGUAGGGACUCCUGUACUUAGGGUGAUUAGCCCUUCGUACCAUAUAUUGUGCACUAUGUCCAAGGUUAAGUAUUUUUUUCAACUUAAACCUAAACAGUCAUUAGACUAUAGAGACUCCUGUACUUAGGGUAAUCAACCCUUCGUACCAUGUAUUGUGCACAAACAUCUAAACGCUUCCGCGUAAUCCCCUAUAAAAGGGUUGUUCACCUCCGCUUUUCAACAUCUGAAUCCGCACCAAAACAAUUUGGUCUGGCAUAACUUUUCAAAGAACGCUUGAAUUUCAUAAACAUCUUUCAACAUUCGUCUAGCUGGAUCAAUUAGUAUAUACUUUUAGCAACAAUUCGGACAUUAAUCGAAAUAUAUAUACAUACAUUCUUAACCAACUCAAUUGGUAUACCUUUCUUAGCUUAAAGAAACCCAAAAAUCAAUUUUUAUGAUGUCAUGAUACGGUACUAUCUCGAUAGUACGUUGAGGAUUCAGUCAUUAUAUGACUUUGUUAUGCUACAUCAUACCAUAGUGGGCUGAAUCACAUCCAACACUAGGUUCAACUGCAUUGAUGACUUCCUCAUUUGUCAUAUUCGCAUUAUAUUUAGUGAUGCUUUAAUGACUACUAAAAAAUAAAAUACAUUUUGAUAUUUUUAAAUCAUUUUUUUGUCUAGCCGAAACAAUUAGCAUAGACAUACGAAAAAUGGUAUUGUUUUUAAAAAUCAUUGGUUUCAUCAUUUGAUCCAAUGUUUUUUAAGAAAAUAGAAGUGCAAACACCAUCAUAAAGUCAAUAAAUUUUGAAAAUCUAGCAAAGCUAGAAGAUCUGGAAUAUCUAAUUCUCUCCAUCAACUUCAUUACUUACUAGUUCAUUUUAUUUCUAGCACCACCAAAGCUCUUAUACUAAAUAUUCUUAUAUCUCAAUUUACAAACUUUCUAUACCCAAUAUAGUUCAUCAAACUUACCACGCAUUUAAAGUUUACGAACUUGUCACAAUAAUAUGAGUUUAGGAACUUGUCCUAGCAAUAUGUAGUCCAAGAACCCAUCAGGGACUGUCCAUAUGCUUAGGGGUUCAAAAACAUACAUAUGAUUAUGAGUCAUCAACUUACCAUAUGAAUGAGUUUUAAAAACUCGCACCUAAUACUAAUAUUAUCUGACUAAUCUUAAUGAUCUAUAACUAUCAAAUAUACACAUGAGAAAAGAAUCACAUUUUCGCCAUAUAUACAUUGAUAGCGUGACACUAACAUUCUAAUGAUUAUCAAUAUGAUAAACUAAGUGCAAGCACAAGACCCUCGCCCAUACAAAGGUUUGUACAACUCAGCCAUCACACGAGUCCUCAACUGAAAUCUCACCUAACUCUAUCUUGCUCAUAACUUGCUCUUUACUCGAUACGAAUUUUUCGUAUCUCAUCAUUUAUAACUCCUCGUGAGUUUGCCUCGUACUAUUUCAUAGUACAUUCUUUUAUAGCAUCAAGUUAUAACCAGAUAUAUAUAGAUCAUCUAUCAUUUUACAACUUAACCAGAUCACGUUGUGAUCUUAUUCUACAAUCAUUUUCUUUAUGCUCUUCUAUUUAUGACCAGUUUGGUUUUUACGAUCUUCCUCUCUCUCUAAUCAUGUUGUCUUUUGAUUAUUCAACUCAGGUGUUCUCGAUAUUUUGACUUUUUAAGUUCUUCUUUGAACCCACACAUACUAUCUUACCUUGUUUUAUAAGCAUUCUCUGAAUAUAUCAUCAAUUAAACUCUAUUUGAGUUCAUUAUUAUUAAUUUAAACACCUUCAUUUUGUAGACAUCGUCUAUUUAAUAACUAUAAUAUCCCGAGUGUUUAUGAUAACGAUCCUUAGCAAAGGAAAUGAAUGGGUUAAAGAGUAUAUAAUACUCAAAAUAUAAUUGAGUUCAAGUGAAAGUUAUGAAAUAAAGCCUAGAAUGUGUUAAAGUAAUGAAUGUAGUAGGAAAUAUAAAAUCUAUAUUAAGGUAAUGUGUUGAAGAUAUUCAACGAUAAAUUUUUGGAAAAGAGAUUUGGUGAAAACCUAGUAAGGGAGGUUUCGUUGAUUCCGAGGACGGAAUCCUUAUAAGGAGGGAAGGAUGUGACAGCCCAAAUUUUUCAUAAGUUAUUAAAAUAAGAAUUUAAUAAUUGAAAUUCUUAUUGCGAUGUGAUUAAUGUAACAAUCCAGAAUUUUAAUUGUAAUUAUAAAUGUUUAUUGAAUUAUAUAAAUAUUUAAUGAAUGUGUUUAUUGUUGAAUAAAUAUUUGUUUGUUGUUGAAUAAAUAUUUGUUUGAUUUGAUUUGGUUAAUUAUAUGUUUAAUAAAUAAUUAAUGGGUUAAGGAAAUUAAUUGUUAUGAGAUAAUAUUCUAAUUUAAUUUAAUAAUUAAGUUAGAGAGUUUAUAAUAAUUAAAUGAUUUAUUCAAUAAAUUGUUAUUAGAAUUAAUUAAAUUAAGUAUGAAAACUUAAUUAAAUAAAGUGUGAUAAAUAACUAUAUUAUAAAGGUGCUGUUAAAAUAAAUUAAAGGAGUUUAAUUUAGUUUUGCCAAACAAGGCUUAUAUAUAUUAAGUCUUUAAAUUUUAAAGGAUUUUUGCCAAACAAAGCCUUAUGGCUUUUGGAUUUCUUUUGAAUUUUGAAUUUUAUAAUAUUAAUUAAAUAAAUAAAAUAUAAAUAAUAUAUAUAUAUAUAUAUAUUUGGGUAACUGAUAACUUAUUAGUGUAAUAAGUGGAGCGUCAGUUUUUAUACGUUUUAAAAUUGUACGUUGGUUUUAUUUUAUUAUACGUAUACUGUUAAUUGGCUUGGUUAUCAGUUUUACGCUUUGAGUUAUCUGCUAAAUUGAGAAAAGAAAGAAAAGCUAGAGAGAGUUUUGAGAAAAAGAAAGGUUCAGAGAUUUUGAGGGAGUCUGAGAGAGAGAAGCAACAAGAGCUGAAUUCUUCACACUAUUUCUAGUGAUUAACAAGAAUUUCUUAACAACAAAAAGGUAUGUCUAUGACCUUAAUAUUAGAUACUAAUAUAUGUUUUACGUUAUAAUAUGUCUUUGUGUUCUUCUUUUUCACUAUGUAUAAAGUUUUUACAAAAUUCUUGUAAACCAUGUUUUUGUAAUUAUUAUACUAGCAUAUAUGAAUAUAUGAUUGUAUGUUUAACAUGUAUAUAAGAUUUUAUGCUAAUUACGUGUUAAAGAAAAAGGAAUUGGAUUUACAGUAAAUAUUUAUGUAUGAAGUGGUUGGUAGAAAUAUCAAAAUUGUAUAUGUUGUGAAAUUGAACCUUGUAGAUGAUAAUUGGGUAAGAAAUUCAGAGAAAUUCAGAGAAACAUAGUUUAAAGUAAUCAGAUUGGUUGUCAAUAGGAUUUACAGUGUUUAUCAACUGUCAGAAAUGGAGUUUUGUUUUAAAAACAUGUUUCAAAGAAUUAAGUUUUCUAAAAUCGUUGUUCAAUUGUUGGUAAUUGGUAUAUGGAUGAUUGUUAACGUUUAUGUGUAAUUUACGUGAAGUUAUACAUGUUAAUUGGUGUUAGAAAUUAAGACAUAGCUUUGUUCUGUGUUUUGUUUUGGGGUGUUCUGUAAUUCGGAGCCUCAGCGCCAAGUUUCGCGCCCCAGCUCUGAAUUUCGCGCCUCAGCCCCAAAAAUGGCCCAAAACUUCGCGCCCCAGGGCUGAAGUUCGCGCCCCAGCGCUGGAAAAGUGGUCUGGGUCGGACAGUUUUGACCUCCUGUAGUAAAAUGGCCAUAACGUUUUCAUACGAACUCCGAUUGAGGUGAUUCAAGAUGAUCCGGAACGAGGACGAAUAGACCUAUAACUUUAAUUCUUUAAGAUGUUCAAUUUGAGGUCGGAAACAGUGGUAAAAAUUGUCAUUUGUGGGAAUGAUAUGUAUUAGGAGGCAAUCGGAGGGCGUCGGGAAUGCACAUAUGCAAAUGUAGUGCUCCUGACGAUAAAAGAUGUUGUCUUAAGUUAUAAAACAUGAAUAUUAGUAAAUAUAAUGAUGCUUAACAUUAAUAAAUGAUGUAUUAGAUAAGUUGUAUAAGCAUACUAAAUACACACAAGAGAGACGAAUCGGGCGUGUGACGAAUGAACGUCAAAAUGCCUUGCCAAGUGUUAAUGAACUUAAAAAGUGUUUCCAUUCAAUUGAAAUGAAUAUUAUAAGAUAUGGAAUGGAUUUAAUAUAAAAUCAAUAAGUAGUCCUAGCAAGACUUAAGCACUUGAAUGAACUUCAAAUAUGAAAUAUAGUGAGUUAUAAGUCUAAAGUUAACACAAUCAAAUUGAACAUUGUGUAUUGAUUAAUAGGAAGGGUUAUAGGAUGUAGAUUAAAGUUUACAUUACAACUUCUAUGCGUUGCUAUAUGACUAAUAGUUAAUGUGAAUGAUUAUAUAAUUAUGUAGGGCACGUGAAGUACAAAUAUCUGUAAGCUGUUAAACUGUUAUUGGUAAACAACGAUCAAGGCAAGUCUUUCAGUUUCUAUUUGCUAUUUGAACUUGAUGAUUAACUAUUUUAAAUCUUUAUUGCAAAGAGCAUGAUGUGUUAUAUAUAUGUUAAAAGUUUGAAAUGUUAAAGUCAAUUUAUGACUAUGUUGAUUGACUAAAGCAUGCUGAUUUGAGUAAGGAUUCAAUCUUUAUACAUGUUAUAUGAACUGUAGCAUGUAUGUUAUAUGUUGAACAUGUUAUUAUGUGCUAUAUGAUGCAUGAAAACUACUAGAUUUUGUUGGGCUGUCGAGCUCAACCUUGUAAAUAACCACUUUUGCAGGUUAAAGAUUUAAGGUAAAGUAUGUGCUACUUGAAAGAUAUGAAACAGAUGUAAUACUUGAAGAAUUAUAUACUUUGGUUGAGUUAUGAUUAUUUAAUCCAUGUUUAAGUUUCCGAACAAUGUAUAAAUGUUGAAUUGUAAUAACGUUUUGCG